rnacentral:rRNA from 1 species
GAUGAACGCUGGCGGCGUGCCUAAUACAUGCAAGUCGAGCAAACGGACGAGAAGCUUGCUUCUCUGAUGUUAGCGGCGGACGGGUGAGUAACACGUGGAUAACCUACCUAUAAGACUGGGAUAACUUCGGGAAACCGUAGCUAAUACCGGAUAAUAUUUUGAACCGCAUGGUUCAAAAGUGAAAGACGGUCUUGCUGUCACUUAUAGAUGGAUCCGCGCUGCAUUAGCUAGUUGGUAAGGUAACGGCUUACCAAGGGAACGAUGCAUAGCCGACCUGAGAGGGUGAUCGGCCACCCUGGAACUGAGACACGGUCCAGACUCCUACGGGUGGCAGCAGUAGGGAAUCUUCCGCAAUGGGCGAAAGCCUGACGGAGCAACGCCGCGUGAGUGAUGAAGGUCUUCGGAUCGUAAAACUCUGUUAUUAGGGAAGAACAUAUGUGUAAGUAACUGUGCACAUCUUGACGGUAACUAAUCAGAAAGCCACGGCUAACUACGUG